rnacentral:rRNA from 1 species
UACGAAGGGGGCUAGCGUUGCUCGGAAUCACUGGGCGUAAAGCGCACGUAGGCGGAUUGCUAAGUCAGGGGUGAAAUCCUGGAGCUCAACUCCAGAACUGCCUUUGAUACUGGCGGUCUCGAGUCCGGGAGAGGUGAGUGGAACUUCGAGUGUAGAGGUGAAAUUCGUAGAUAUUCGCAAGAACACCAGUGGCGAAGGCGGCUCACUGGCCCGGUACUGACGCUGAGGUGCGAAAGCGUGGGGAGCAAACAGG